GUGUUCUGCUCAGCAAUCACAUUUCUCCCUUGCUGUGGUCUCAGUGUUUGGAUCAGUUGGCUCUGUGUGUGUGUGUGUGUUUGUGUGUGUGUGUGUGUGUGUUUGUGUGUGUGUGUGUGUUUGUGUGUGUGUGUGUAUUUGUGUGUGUUUGUGUGUUUGUGUGUAUGUGUUUGUGUGUGUAUUUGUGUGUGUUUGUGUGUUUGUGUGUGUGUUUGUGUGUAUAUGUGUUUGUGUGUUUGUGUGUGUGUGUGUGUGUGUGUGUUUGUGUUUCUGUGUGUAUUUGUGUGUGUGUGACUCUGUGUGUGUGUUUGUGUGUGUUUGUGUUUGUGUGUGUUUGUGUGUUUGUGUUUGUGUGUGUGUGUGUGUGUGUGUCUGUGUGUGUUUGUGUGUGUGUUUGUGUGUGUGUUUGUGUAUUUGUGUGUCUGUGUGUGUGUGUUUGUGUAUUUGUGUGUGUGUGUUUGUGUGUGUGUGACUGUGUGUGUGUUUGUGUGUGUGUAUUUCUGUGUUUGUGUGUGUGUGUGUAUUUCUGUCUGUGUGUUUGUGUGUGUGUUUGUGUGUGUGUGUGUGUGUUUGUGUGUGUGUGUGUGUUUGUGUGUGUGUGUAUUUGUGUGUGUGUUUGUGUGUGUGUCUUUGUGUGUGUGUCUUUGUGUGUGUUUGUGUGUGUGUGUGUGUGUCUUUGUGUGUGUAUUUGUGUUUGUGUGUGUGUGUGUAUUUCUGUGUGUGUGUGUUUGUGUGUGUGUGUUUGUGAGUAUGUGUAUUUGUGUCUGUGUGUGUGUGUGUUUGUGUGUGUGUAUUUCUGUGUUUGUGUGUGUGUGUGUAUUUCUGUCUGUGUGUUUGUGUGUGUGUUUGUGUGUGUGUGUGUGUUUGUGUGUGUGUGUUUGUGUGUGUUUGUGUUUGUGUUUGUGUGUGUUUGUGUGUGUGUAUUUCUGUGUUUGUGUGUAUUUCUGUGUUUGUGUGUGUGUGACUGUGUGUGUGUUUGUGUGUGUGUAUUUCUGUGUUUGUGUGUGUGUGUGUNGUGUGUGUCUGUGUGUGUGUGUGUGUGUGCAUGUUUGUGUGUGUGUGCUUGUGUGUGUGUUUGUGUGUGUGUGUGUUUGUGUGUGUGUUUGUGUAUUUUUGUGUGUGUGUUUGUGUGUGUGUGUAUUUGUGUGUGUGUGUGUGUGUGUGUGUGUUUGUGUCUGUGUGUGUGUUUGUGUGUGUGUGUGUGUUUGUUUUUGUGUGUGUGUUUCUGUGUGUGUGUGUGUUUGUGUGUGUGUUUGUGUUUGUGUGUGUGUGUUUCUGUGUGUGUGUUUGUGUGUGUGUGUGUGUAUUUCUGUGUGUGUGUUUGUAUUUCUGUGUGUGUGUGUGUAUUUCUGUGUGUGUGUGUGUUUGUAUUUCUGUGUGUGUGUGUGUGUGUUUUUGUGUGUAUUUCUGUGUGUUUGUGUGUGUGUUUGUGUGUGUGUGUGUGCGUGUAUUUCUGUGUGUUUGUGUAUUUCUGUGUGUGUAUUUCUGUGUGUGUGUUUGUGUGUUUGUGUGUUUGUGUGUAUUUCUGUGUGUUUGUGUGUAUUUCUGUGUGUGUGUGUAUUUGUGUGUGUGUGUAUUUCUGUGUGUUUUUGCACACCACAGUGGAUAAACCUUUAAC
ensembl:lncRNA